rnacentral:lncRNA from 1 species
GCUCCGGUGACGCUGAAGAGGCUGGCCGGCGGCUUUGACGUUAGAAGCUUCAGAGUUAAACUGACCAUUUUUUCAAAUGUCAAAUCUCAAAAUCAGAUGUCUUCAUUUUCUAAUAGGACGUUGUUGACCCAAAAUUAAGUUUAAAUCCAUUCAAUUGGGUUUUGUUCUUAUGAAAUUAUUAAGUGAGAUGAAGUGAUAGUGCAG